UACGGAGGGUGCAAGCGUUAUCCGGAUUCACUGGGUUUAAAGGGUGCGUAGGAGGGCAGGUAAGUCAGUGGUGAAAUCUCCGAGCUUAACUUGGAAACUGCCAUUGAUACUAUCUGUCUUGAAUAUUGUGGAGGUGAGCGGAAUAUGUCAUGUAGCGGUGAAAUGCUUAGAUAUGACAUAGAACACCAAUUGCGAAGGCAGCUUGCUACAGGGAUAUUGACACUGAGGCACGAAAGCGUGGGGAUCAAACAGG
rnacentral:rRNA from 1 species